rnacentral:tRNA from 1 species
AGAUCAGUGGCGCAAUGGUAGCGCAUCUGACUCCAGAUCAGAAGGUUGCUUUUUCGAUUCGCGUCGGGUUCA